rnacentral:misc_RNA from 1 species
GUUUUAGUUGUACAUUGUACAAUAGACAUUCCAUUACAUCCAGAGUGUGUAAAAGUACUCGAGUACCAGGGCCUUUGAGGGGCCCAUGCAAAGCGGUACUCAGAGUCAUAGGUGCACAGGUGUGUGGGAUUUGCGACUUGCAACGUGCACAUGUGUCUCCACCAGCACAGAUGACAAGCCGACUUUGAAGUUUCAUUAAUGAUCCUUCCGCAGGUUCACCUACGGAAA